ACCCGGCUUCCGUCCCCGCGGCCGCUUUCUCCUCAGCCGCCGCGGCCGCCUUCUCCUCAGCCGCCGCCUCCUCAGCCGCCGGUUCCGCCGCGGCCGGACUCACCUCCCCUAGCAAAGCCGGAUAGAGCGGAGCCAGCGUCGGACACGCGCAACCAGCCGCCGAGGCCCCGCCCCCGCCUUGCACGGACCGGCUGCCCUAGCCAAUCCACGCCCACCUGUCCGCCACCGCCUCCAAUCCUGGGCCAGGAGCUUCAGACAGGCGCACUGUUCGGCCAGUGGCAACAAGGAGCAGGAAGCUGCGUGGUAAUCCCGCCUGCAAAAGCUGGAAGAGAGGGGCGGAACGAAAGAACCAAUCAUGAGCCAGAGACAAAGAACAGAGUAACCAAUCCUUGGGUUGAAAAUGAAGUGGGAUGGAACCUGGGCCAAAUAGACACUUGAAAAAACAAAUGGAAAAAAAAGGUUGAUGAGCUGAGCAUGAAGAACGAGAAGUCGGAAGUGAGUCAGCAGGAUAGCACUUAGAGCCUAAAAAAGCAAGCAGGACAUCAGAAUGCAUAAGCAGGAAUAUAAUGUGCAGGAAGUGGGAGGUGAUCUUCCCUUUCUUCCAAGAACUGGCUCACCCCAUGAGUUGUCUGCAAAGACUUUGCAGAACUUGGGCCAGGCCCAGGAAUAUUAAAGGACUACAAAAGGAGCAACUCACAUUCAACAGUGCUGGGUGCUCAACACCUGUUAUCUCAUGUGAUCAAUCGUCAAUAUGUCCCAUUUUGCAAAUGAAGAAA
rnacentral:lncRNA from 1 species